CUUUGUGGCCCGGCGCAGGGUCGGUGCCCCUUAAACAGCGUGCGAUGCCGACCGCAGUGACCUGCAGUGCUCUGCCUUGAGGCUCACCUUUGGACCCGUCUCCAGAGGGUCAAGCGGGCCGACCACGGGCAGCCGUUCACUGGUAUGUCCUGGCGGAAGUGUGCGUGUCUCUAGUUAUUAGUGUUGCUCGGCUCCUUGCAGCUUCGGAGGUGUCUGCUUGUAAAGUCAUUCCCGGUACAAGGGCCCGGCACUGCUUGUCUUCAGUGAGAAGUGAGCUGUAGCAGAGGAGGCUUUGUCGCCCUCAGAGGGCUUCUAAGCCACACUGUGAAAUGAGGCUGACGCCUGCUCUCGUCCGCCUGUCUGUCUGUUCCUGCACUUCCUGGCGUCUCCCUGUCUACCCCUCAUCUUAGGACAUGGAGAGCUGGACUUGGCAUUGUUACUAUGAGAAUCUUAAGUUCCUGUUAUUAACAGGGUAACCAAAGAGGGUCCAUGUAGCAGGAAGAAGGAGCCAGAGGUUUGAAGCCAGAAGACCUUGGUGCAAGCAUGAAGCCCCACCACCUGCUCAGCCACCGCCAGGCCCAGGAAGCAUUGGCCUUUGGGCGCCGAGCCAUGCCCAGCUCCUCUGGGCAGGGACACGGUGGCCACAGCUGCACCCUCCUCCUGCAACACUGCGUGAGCUCCUACAGAGGGUGGCUCACCAACUCGGGCCGCUUCUGGCCCUGAGUCCCCUUCCCCUCUUCCCGUCCCUCGUCCGCAGUCAGAUCUGAGGGCCAGUCCAAAGUCCUCCCGACCUGCUUAGCCCCUGCCUGCAUCUCGCCAGCCACUGCCCCCAGUCAGAGGCUCCCUUCGCGCCCAGCCCGGCAUCUGCGGCACCUCCUGCUGCCCACCUGCUCCUGGCUGCCUGCAUCCUCCAAUGCGUGGACGAGCCAAAUGGCCUUGAAAACAGCAUCACUGACCCUGCAAAGUUCCACAGGGGGCCCCCACUGGAAGGGAGCCAUGACUCCCCACUUUGGCUGGGAAGGUCCGUGCCCUGCUCCUGGCAAGCCCUCAUCUCCCAUCAUGGGCGAUUUCCCUCGCAGCCCUGCUGCUUCGAAAGUCCUGCAAGUCCUCCCAUGCCAGCCCUCCUUACGGGUGUCUGAGAGGUUCACUCCGUCCUGCUCACAGGCCGCUGCUGCGAGGCCUUCCCUAAACACCCCGUGAAAAGGCAUGUCCCGCCCCAGUCCUGCCCAGCCCGGACUCUGCCUCUCUUCCUGGCCAUGUGAGGGAAGCCCUGCACCCCCGGCGUCUGUACCCUGCUGCUCCACAGCGAGGGCAGAGCACUCACAACCACCCUGAGCCCCAGCCGCCCGACCAGC